rnacentral:rRNA from 1 species
GACGAACGCUGGCGGCGCGCCUAACACAUGCAAGUCGAACGAGCGAGAGAGAGCUUUCUUUCUUGAGCGAGUGGCGAACGGGUGAGUAACGCGUGAGGAACCUGCCUCAAAGAGGGGGACAACAGUUGGAAACGACUGCUAAUACCGCAUAAGCUCACGUUGCCGCAUGGCACAGAGGGAAAAAGAGCAAUCUGCUUUGAGAUGGCCUCGCGUCCGAUUUGCUUGUUGGGGAGGUAACGGCCCACCAAGGCGACGAUCGGUAGCCGGACUGAGAGGUUGAACGGCCACAUUGGGACUGAGAAACGGCACAGACUCCUACGGGAGGCAGCAGUGGGGGAUAUUGCAAAAUGGGGGAAACCCUGAUGCAGCGAGGCCGCGUGGAGGAAGAAGGUCUUCGGAUUGUAAACUCCUGUUGUUGGGGAAGAUAAUGACGGUACCCAACAAGGAAGUGACGGCUAACUACGUG